CAUAGCCAUAUGUAUUUACUUUUGGUAUUUUCUGCUCAAUGAGUUUUAAAUAGCCGCAGUACACUGACUGUGCAAAGGUAGCGUAAUCAUUUGUCUUCUAAUUAAAGUCUUGUAUGAAUGAAUGUAUGGGGGCCCACUGUACCAGUAAUAUUUAACGAAGUUACUAAGUGAGUGAAAAUACUCACGUGUAGAUAAUAGACGAGAAGACCCUAGAAAUUUGUUGAUUUGUUUUGUUGGGGCAACAUAGUAGCAUGAAACCUACUCUAUGUAUAUGAAAUGUUUUGGAAAAUUUAAAUUACUCUAGGGAUAACAGCAUAAUCUAUAAAUGUUUGUGACCUCGAUGUUGGACUAGGAAGUUGUGGCUUAGAAGGUUGUCAACAACGCUCUGUUCGAGCAGCGUAUCCUACGUGAUCUGAG
rnacentral:rRNA from 1 species